UGAGUCAAGAAAUCUUCAAAAUAAUCAAUUCUUGGACAGAAUUCUGGCAUAUUAUUAAUAAGUAUCUGCUUUUAUUGUGUGUUGAGGUUGACUUGUCCCCCAAAGAUUGCUCUGAACAGCAUACUCAUGGUGUAUUUGAAAACAACAUAUUGUAUAAAGCGACGCAUGUCACUGGAGAUGAGAAAAAUGACGCUCAGGGCCAUCUGAUGGGACCCUCUAAUAUAGAAUGCCGUUUGUGUCUCUUCUGUGAUUAUUUCUAUGUCCCAAUUAUUAGCAGCCAUCAGUGCCUGGGGAUGAUGCAGAGCAAAGCAAAACAAAACAAAGGUCUGUCAGUCUGCAUCUCACGGAUAAGUCUUAGGGGCUGCAGAUGGAUUUAUUGGCUCUCUGUUUCUAAAUCUGUCUAAAAGACCUGAACAAUUUCCUACCUGAAAGAGGCUGAGAGCUGAGCACCUGGAGGCCUUUCAUAAUGACAGUGGCGGGGAAGCACAAUACCGCUGGAGUUAAUUUUUGAUGUGAGCUGUGCUGCUUACUCAGACUCAGACAGACACUCGUCUCCUGCAGCAAGGGGAAAUAAAAUGUUUCCUGAAGAUGCUGUGGUUUAUUUUUGCACAUGCUACUUAUAUAAAGCACAAGACAAAUGAAGAUUUUUAACCCUCAUUUGGGCUCCAUAAAACAAUGUAAAAUCUACCUUAACAUCUAUUUUUAUUUUUAUUUUAAUACCUGAUAUUUUUAAGUGAGUAAAUGAAUGUUUCUCUCUUUAUGCACAUAUAAGGCAACUUACAUAACCUCUAAUUAAAAUAACACAUAGUUAUCUUUUUCAGUGCUAUUAAUUGAAAUGCUGCUUUGUACCAAGCAGGGUAUCAUGAAGCAGUAAUUAAAAAGACAGGAACUUCCC
rnacentral:lncRNA from 1 species